UGCCAGCAGCCGCGGUAAUACGGAGGGGGUUAGCGUUGUUCGGAAUUACUGGGCGUAAAGCGCGCGUAGGCGGACUAGUCAGUCAGAGGUGAAAUCCCAGGGCUCAACCCUGGAACUGCCUUUGAUACUGCUAGUCUUGAGUUCGAGAGAGGUAAGUGGAAUUCCGAGUGUAGAGGUGAAAUUCGUAGAUAUUCGGAGGAACACCAGUGGCGAAGGCGACUUACUGGCUCGAUACUGACGCUGAGGUGCGAAAGUGUGGGGAGCAAACAGGAUUAGAUA
rnacentral:rRNA from 1 species